rnacentral:lncRNA from 1 species
AACCAUUAAGUAGGUAACUAGGUGGUUGGAGUUAUCUCCGUUGAAGACGAGAGCACUUUGCACCGCCGCCGCGCAGCGUCGCCACUGCUGGCAACACUGCUGAUGUUUGGCUGCUGAAGGUUUCAGCUGAGGGCUUUGCUCGGUUGUUGUGGUGAACCCAUCUCUUGUGUUCCUUUGAGGCUUUUAUGCCUGGUGGCCUGUCUGUCCAGUGCAGGCCAAUGCUGUGCAAGUGGUACGCUUCUCAGCUGUACUACUGCCUUUACCAUGUUCUCUUACUGGCUGCUAUCGUAGGAUCGCAUCCGUUGGCAUUUACCUCGCUGCCGUUCCACCUCAACGAAUGCUUCCAAAUGCCGUGCACUUUAACCGCGAACGUUCCCUACACGCAAUCACUUCCACACACAACGACAUCAACAGCCUAAACCGUUUUCAUCUAUCCUGCAUACCGCCAUCACCACCACCACCACCGCUGUUAUUACCUAGCACCACUACUAACACAUUUAUUUACAAGGCGACCCACUCUACGAAUCACGGCUCGUUGAUUUGCUGCCGAGGUUAACGACACCACCAUCUCACGAACCCCACUUAGUCUUGUAUACCUUCUACAUUAUCUUCUACUCUUUUUCUACAUUGUCCAGAGAUCGCUCAAUGGUAAGUCUUUAAAAAAUAUACAGAUAGAAUGAGAGAGAGAGAAAGAAUGGCAAAGAGAAUGAAGGAGAGUGAGAAAUGAGAAUGAAAGAAACAAUGAAGAAAAUAAAAUUGAAAAAAUAGUUUCAAGAAACCUUUUAUUCAGCAUUCUCUGUUCAUUUGAGUAAUAUAUUUAUUUAUUCUAAGUGGAAAGUGUCAAAUAUGCAUUAAGUUAGGCUCUGGUCUAAAGACUCCUUCCUUUCCAUCUAAAAUAAGGAAGGAAUGGAAGUUUAUUUUCUAUUAUUUGGUAUUCCUUCGGAUUUUCCUUUUAUUAAUUAGUGACUUCAAGUGAAGCAACUUGGAAUUUUAUGCCCUCGGUUUUUCUUUUUCUUUCUUUCUCCCCAUUUUCUGUAAUUUCAAGUUUGGUUGGGUUUUUUUUUUCUCUAGUGUUGGUUUGUUGGGAGGAGAAAAAAUUACAAGGAAGGAAUUCCUUUUAAGGAAGAGAGAAAGAAAAAGGCAGUCGGAAACCAACAAACAAAAAAUUAUAUUGAUUGAUUAUAAAGUUUGGUUCCAUGUGUCCCCUCCCUCCAUCGAGAGAGUUUCUGAUGGUGGGGCAGUCACGAAAUGCUGUCUUCUCUCAAGUUUGACACAUCAAGUAAAAACAGUAAAAGUGUAAGAUUCCGCUCUAUCUUAAUUCCUUACAAAUACUUCAUUUACAAUACGUAUGUAUGUAUAUUUGCGUAUGUGUGUAUAUAUAUAUAUAUAUAUAUAUAUAUAUAUAUAUAUAUAUAUAUAUAUAUUAUUAUUAUGACCUUAUCACCUGCUGCCAUAUAUAAAUGUAUUUGUGUGUAUGCAUACAUACACACACAUAGUGUGAGUGUUUGUGUACAUAUAUAUAUAUAUAUAUAUAUAUACAUAUAUGUGCACACAUGUAUAGACACAUAUUUAUAUAUAUAUAUAUACAGAUAAACAUAGAAUUAUGUAUAUAUGUACACAUCAUCACCACGGUCGAACAAUGAUGAUGAUGUGUACAUAUAUACAUAAUUCUAUGUUUAUGUGUAUAUAUAUAUAUAUAUAUAUAUAUAAAUAUAUAUAAAUAUGUGUCUAUACAUGUGUGCACUAUAUAUGUAUGCUUAUAAACAUGCGUAUAUAUGUGUGUGUGUAUGUGCGUGCAUAUAACUAUAUGAACUUCCGUCCUUUUAUAUUCCUGAUUGUCGACUAAUUCCAUUCCAUUAACAACCUUCUGCUACUAGAUAGUAUUUGUGUGUAUGUGUGCACAUAUAUAUAUCGAAAGUAAAGGAAUUUUGUUAAAAUCUUCGUUCGACUCCAUUCUUUUCAUUUAUAUAUAUACAUACACACACACUAGUUCCUCAUAACACAGUCGUCGUCAUAUCGGUGUAGCUCGGUGCAUUCACAGAACAAACCUCCAAUCUUUUUCAUCAGCCACUUUUCUAUGAAGGAACUCUUGUUGCCAACACGCACUUGUGAACGAUACUGAUUAUUACUAUUAUCAUUAUUAUUGUUGUUGUUGUUGUUGUUGUUGUUAUUAUUAUUAUUAUUAAGAAGUACUGGAGUCAGUAGUAUCGUUUACUCCCACCCCUCAAGUAUUUUUUGAUCUUGUUGCCCAAAUCAAAAACAAUUAUUUUUUUUUCAAGCAUUUAUGCUCGUGCUUGAUACAUUUAUUAUUUUUGUUGUACCUCCUCUUCUUUCUCAUUCUCGUCUACUUCAUUUUCCCCAUUUUCUCCAUGGCUUGUCGGAUGAAUACAUACAUAUAUAUAUAUAUAUAUAUAAACACACACACAUAUGUGCGUGUGUAUUGUUCACUUUCUUUCUUCUCUUUUAAUCUACUGCAUACUUGUCUAAUGUCGUUUUUUAGAUAUUUUUUUUUCUACCGAACACCUCGAUAGUUUAACAUGUCCAUUUGUCAUUUCGAUCAAUUUUAUGUCACAUACACACACGCUUUAAACAUUUGUAUUACAUAAAUCUAUUGUCUAUAUUAAUCAUACACACGUUUACACACUGAGUGUUGUUAGAAUGUCGUGCAUGCCCUCGUUAACCGCUGUUUACUUCCCACGGUUGAAAAUCCACCUGAAAACCUUCAAUAGUGACUGCUAUUUUGCACAAAUACUUCGCUUUAGGAUUUCUUAAUUGCUACGCAUUUCCUAUACUUUGUGUGUGUGUAUAUAUAUAUAUAUAUAUAUAUAUAUAUAUAUAUAUAUAUAUAUAUAUAGUGGUUUAGCUCCAGGUCAACCGUGUUCAAACAGACAUAUGAUUAAAUGCACUCCAGUUGUGACCAGUCAGUCGUUCUAGGAGCAUGUAGGAAUAUGUUUUGUAGUGUCCCCGUGUUUCUGACGGGAAGAUAUAUUUUGAGAAUUUAGCUGCUAGUUCUAGCAGCUGGAGCAUCUGCAUAGAGAUUGGCUCGUGUGUGUUGAGUACAAUUAAGGUGUGUAGUUAAUUGACUUCGUGUCAGAAUAUUCGUGGUUCUUCAACGAAGGAGAGAGUCUCUAAAGUGGUUGGUGGGCUUGUUAGAAAUAGCAACCUAAUCUCUAUCAGAUCACAACCGACUGUUUUUUUUUAAUGAUUUCUUGGAUAUUGUGGCUUAUAUUUUCACUACUAAAAAAAAAAAAGAAACAAACAAAGAAGGAAAGACGUGUUUGUCGUAACUGGAAUCGCUUUGAUCAAAGAUCUACUGAAUCAAGGCCGAUCUGGUUGCUAAAAUAGCAACUGGUUUUAUGAAUUCAACCUGGAAAUGUAUGAGUGACACGAUCUUCUUCUUGGUUGGUUUGCUUGAUAAUGUCAGUUAUAAUUCUCCAUGAGAGAUUUACAAUGUGUCUAAUCGUCUGUUUCGAAUGAUAAUUUAUUCUUCUUUACCUAAAUUCACCAUUCCUGCACGAGCCGACGGCGAAACGUCUCCAUAGUCACUCGACUUGGUUGAAAUAACGACCAAAUCUUCUCCAAAUUACAUCCUACCAUCGCUAUAAAUUAGAAUAGUAUCUGAUAUACAAAUGACAGAAGGUCUAGUCUAAGACUACCGCGGGACACAGCAACUAAUUGUUCAUUUCUUGUUCGCUUAUUUUUGUUUUUAUUCUAUGAGCCGACGAUAGAGCCUCUAUGCCGUUACUCGAUCUACUAGAAAUAGAAGCCAAAUCUCCAUCAAAUCACAUGAAUAAGUAAAUAAAGGGGGAUACGUUAGACAAUGUAGUAGUUUAUGAUAUAUCAAAAAAAAAAAAAAUCCCAAAAUCUAUGAUUACGGCCCCGAUCAGCGUUAAACAACAACGUUUGAGUAUUCCUAUCCAGUUGUUUUUAUGUAUUCCAGUCGCUACUUUCUCCUUAGCAAUACCGAUUCCUUACUACAAACAUUUCACGAAUUCCGCUACCCCCACCACUGGCUCAUCGAUUCAUUAAAUUUAUAAAUUACUUUUGUAAAAUGCUUGUUGACAGAUAAUACCCUACGUCGACACCCUGGGGAUGGAUGUAGUUCUUUAAAACACCAUUGUACAUUGUGCAGCACAUGUUUUUAGAAAAUAUUCCAAGUAGAGAGAUAUAUAGGGGGUGGGGGGACGGAGGGAAUGAGUGAGGUGGCAGACAUAGAUUUACAUCUACAAGUGGUGGUCGUGAGAGGAGGAAGUAUAAAUAUUUCUAAAUGUUUGUCGGAAGAAAUGUCCACUUAAGUCAUUGUCAGUUACAAGUGUGUUAGAUGGCCGAGUUGAUAGGGUCUCCGCCUAUGUAUCAAAGUUCCAUCAAGUCCUAGCUUGUCACCACUGCUCUACUGUCUCCGUGGAAAACACUUUUUACUCUCAAAGGCACAGCCCACCUAUCUUCUGUAAAUACGAGGUUUUGCUGCUGUUUGGUUGUCGCUCGGUCCGCCAGAGAUAACAGCCGAAUUACCCAUAAGGAAAGAAAACAUCGAACAAUAUAGUCCUUCAUACGUCUCAAAAGAUGCAAUGCUCAUCGUUGGGGUAACCCUGAUCAUAGGUUUGGUGGAGCAAGGCUGGUUUGAGGCUAAACAACCACAACAACGUGGUUGUUUGACAUGCAAGAAAUGACAGCCAAAUCUAUAAAUAAUCUCGCUCUACUGUUACUCUAGUUCAUGUAAUACUAGAUACAUUAUCAUCAUCAUAGUUUUAAUGUCUACUUUUACAUGAUUGCAUGUGAAGGCGCAUAGCUCAGUGGUUAGAGCAUUGAGCUCAGUAUUAUGAGUUAAUGAAUUCGCUCCUUGACCUGGCUGUGUGUUAUGUUCUUGAGCAGUACAAAAACAACAAAAAAAACGGCUUUAUCGAUCACAUUCUCACCUGGAAUUGAUUUUUGUAAUUUUUUCAAGACUUAUACAUGCCCUGAUACCUUCAGUAUCUACAUAUCAAAUUUGAGCGCAAUCGGAUGGAGGAUGCCCGAGAUCCGAGAAGACACACAGACAGACAGAUUUUAUAUGAUAUAUAUAUAUAUCAUCAUCAUCGUUUAACGUCUGCUUUCCAUGCUAGCAUGGGUUGGACGAUUCGACCAGGGUCUGGGAAGCCAGGAGGCUGCACCAGGCCCAGUAUGAUCUGGCAAUGUUUCUACAGCUGGAUGCCCUUCCUAAUACCAACCACUCCGUGAGUGUAGGGGCUGCUUUUUAUGUGCCAGGCGAGGCUGGCAACGGCCACGAUUGGUUGGUGCCUUUUACGUGCCGCCAUAUAUAUAUAUAUAGACAUACAUACAUACAAAUAAUCAGAAAAUUGAGAAAACCUCAGAUUAACAAACACAUUGAUAGGACCACAUUUAUAGUUUAUUUUUUAAUACAAAGCAUGACAUAACAAAUAUAUGACAUUCAACAGGCUUCUUUCAGUUUCUGUCUACCAAAUCCACUUCUAAGGCUUUGUUAGUUUGGGGUUAAUGUGGAUGUCCAAGGUUCCAUACUGUGACACUGAUCUCAAAACCAUCCAGUUGGAAAGCAAACUUCCUAACCAUACCAGAGCCAAUGCUGGAAUGGCUCUUGUCAUAGGUCUAAUCAGUAUGGUCUAAUCUGGGACUAAGCUCCAAGAUUCUUCAUGAUGGUAGAAUAAUUGAUUUGUUAUUGUAAUCAGUGGAAACAUCAUGAUUGAUGUAUAUGUUUUUGUUUAAAUAUUCCUUAUUGGAUUGGUCUGAAAGAAGGAGCUGUACCCAUGGCCUUUACAGACUCACCAGGGCUAGUUGUAUCAGCGCACUUUGAACACUUUGUAAAUUAAUAGUUGCAAGAUGGUGGUGAUGGGGCAUAGACAGGGUUGUGUUCUGUAAAGAAGGAUUGUGGGUGUGGUGGCUAGUGCAGAGGGUAAGGAAGACACAGUCUGGAUGAUUCCCUUCUGGAUCUCACCAAGUUUUGAAAAAGGUUGGUCAUUGUUGAAGGCUGAAAUACAUUUUUGGUCCUGAAAAGAAAAGUUAGUCUUUUUGAUGUAGUCUUUGUCAUGUUGAGGAUGUUGGGAAAGUUCUUUAGUAGUAGUUGAGGCCUAGCAUUUGUAGUUGCAUACUGGGUAUGUUUAGGAUGGGGUGCAUAUGGUAAUGUUUUCUUGAUAUGUGUUUGUUUUAUGUCCAUUUUUUGCAUGCUGGUAUGAAUAUAUUAUUGAAGAAUGGGUUAUUUGGCAACCCUGCUGAUACUGGUGCCAUGUAAAUAGCAUCCUGUCCACACUGUUAACUUGUUGGCCUUUGGAAGGGCAUCCAGCUGUGAAAACCAUGCCAAAAUUGACCUUGCCUGUGCUGGUGCCAGGUAAAAUGCACACGGUCCACUCUAUGGGGUAGUUGGUGUUAGGAAGGGUAUCCAGCCAUAAAAACCAUUCCAAAACAGACACAGUAGCUUGGUGUAGUCUUCUACCUGGCUGGCUCCUGUCAAACUGUCCAACCCAUGCGGAUAUUAAGUGAUAUUAUGAUGAUGAUCAUAAUGAUUAUUGAGCCAUUGUUUAAAUGGAAAGAAUGUGUGUUCUGAUGACAUGAAAUGAUAGUUGGAAGUGAAUGUCACCAUCAUAUAAACAGUACCAUUUCUUUCCAGUUUUCCAGGAAAACAUGGUUAGCCAUGGGGGAAUAAUAUCUCAUUUGGAAACAGGUGAUGGUUGUUGAGAGGAAGGGGUCUGGCAGAUCAGUGAAUCGCAUCUGAUCCAUCUGAGCACGAAAACAUGGAUAUUAAUUAAAAUAACGACUCUACUAAUGAGUCCCACAUCUUUUGCUCACCUCGAAAUUCAAUUCUUUUCUUUUAUUCUUUUACUUGUUUCGGUCAUUUGAUGCAGCCAUACUGGAGCACCACCUUGAAGGGUUUUUUUAAGUCAAACAAAUCAACCCCAGUACUUAUUUUAUGAGCCUAGUACUUUUUUCUAUCAGUCUCUUUUGCCAAACUGCUAAGUUACAGGGAUGUAAAGGCACUAACACUGGUUGUCAGGCUUUGAUGGGGGGGACAAACACAGACACAAAGGCAUGCGCUCGCACGCACACACACACACACACAUAAAAACAGGCUUGUAGUACUGAGUUAAAAUCUAAAAACCAAAGAAACUAGUGAAGAUUUGUGUGUACAAUUAUCAAAUCUACAGUGUUGGUUUGUCUGCAGAGAGAAGACUACUCAAAAGCUGUGCCAUUAAUUCAGAAACAUUCACACUGUCACACUCUUGUAACAAAUAACAGAUGCAACAUUCACUGCUUCAAGAUUAAAAUUGAGAAAAAUCUUUCUAUAAAUUAGGAAUAGAAAACCAUAAAAUUAAUGAAGGGCAGAGAGAUGGAAGGAGAAAUCAUCUUCCUAAUAAUGGAGACCUGGUUUCAAGAACUCCACUGAAUCACUGCUGAGUUCUAUUCUCUAAUCAGAAAGCAGUGGAUGUCAACAAACAGGUAUAGGUCAAGCCUCUAAAAGAUAGUGACUAACCUGCAUCAAGAGAGAUAUUUCGAAUGCCUUGUAUGCCUCAGUAUACAGACCAUGUUGCAAUGUCUGGCCACUUUGAUCUCAAAGAGGUGGGGAACAAUCCUUGAAGUUGAUGAGCUUCUACAUCAAAUGGAUUUUGAAUUUAAAUUUGGAGUUAUAAGAGACUACUAAAUUUACAUUUGUUAUCUAAGUUCACCAUUUGUUUAUGAACUAUGAUGAAACUUCUUCAUGUUUGUACUGCCACAGUGAUCCCAAGGAGAUAUGGAACAGUCCAUGAAACUAGUGAGGUUUACAUCAUUUGAAUUUCAAAUGUGGAUUUGGAAGUGUGUGAGAGACCUCGAAAUUUAUUUCAUCAUUAUCACUUAUACUUUCCCAUGCUUGUUUGCAUCAGACAGAAUUCACUGAGGCAGAUUUUCUGUCCAAGCAAGGUAAUAUUCUCCUGUGGCUGGACAUGUUUUCAUGGGAGAUUGAAAACGAAUGACACUGCUUGUAUGGUGGUGACACUUGUUUACAACUACCACAAACACACAAGAGAAGGCACGUGCUUGCACGAGCACACACACACGUGUCCUCGCACUCAGACUCGUGUGUAGGGCUAGAAUGUUGUCAAGAAGACAACUAGUUGGGAAAAGAAAGACCUAAUUAGUCAGAGAUUUAGAGAUGAUCCACACAAAGCACUUGACGAGAAGGAAGAGGAUAUAGUAACAUGUAACAUGAGGACAGCUGGAGGCUCCAACAGGACAACUUAAUGAGAUAUACUGACCAAAUUUGUGGCUUGUGCAAAGUCCCCUCCAGACCUGAGAUGACAUGAUUGUGGAACAAUGUAGCAGACAGGACCAUUAGAGUGAAAAAACAAUCCUGGAAGAAUGGUGGUAGCAGGGAAGCUAAGAGAUAUGUAUAUUUAGCUAGGGGAAAAGCUGAAAGGAAGAAGCUUAUCAAUGUUCUGAAACACCUCAUUGCGGACCAGAAGUUUGAGGUGUUUCAGAUUGCAAAACAGUGUGUGAAAGAAAAUCAUGAUGUUGUAAGAGAGAAGUGUGUCUGCAGGUAGUGAUUCUGCAAAGAAUGAGGCUUGGAAGUGCCACUACGAAAGGCUGCUAAAUGUUGAGAAUGCAUGUGGACCCAACAGAGGGACCAGCUAUCCAAAUUGACAGUCACUUGAUAGAUAAAGCAAUUAAAGAUAUAAAGACAGAAAGCCCCCAGCCCUUCAGGAAUAAUCAUUGAGAUGUUUAAAAUAUCUGCCAGAGGGGGUUAUGGCCUAGUCAUCUGUAUGGUUAAUCAUGUUACCUAUGAGGGCGUCAUACCCAACAACUUGUGUAACAGCAUUGUAGUCAGCUGCGACAAAGGCAAAGGCAAUGCCUUAGAAAUAAUUACAAGGGUAUCAAAUUAUUGGACCUUGUGAUGAAAGUUACAGAGAGGAUCAUAGCUCAACUAAUUAGGAAGAGAGUUAGCCUGGAUGAGAUGCAGUUUGAUUUUGUGCCGGAGAAGCAUUACCAAUGCUAGCUUCUUGGUAAGCAACUGCAGGAGAAGUCAAAAACAAACCCCUACUUGGCUUUUGUUGAUAUGGAGAAAGUCUUUGAUAGGGUCCCCUGCUCUGUCAUCUAGUGAUCAAUGCAGAAGCUAGGGAUAGAUGAGUGGUUGGUGAGGGUUGUACAACUCCUGUAUGAGGACAUUGUCAGUAAGGUGAAGGUCAGCAAUGAGUAUGGUAAUGAAUUUAGUGUACAAGUAGGAGUUCACCAAGGUUCAGUUCUCAGCCCCUUCUUGUUUAUCAUAGUCCUCCAGGCCAUAAUGUGGCUACCCUUGGGAGAUCCUCUAUGCUGAUGACCUUGUUCUUAUUUUGAGCCACUAUCUGAACUAGAGAGGAUAUUUCAGGUGUGGAAGCAAGGUCUGGAAUCAGAGUUAAUUUAGCAAAGUUAAUUGGAAAAGAGAUGAUUUAGCAAAGACCAAAAUCCUAGUAAGUUGGGAAACGGACACAUCACAAAUCCCUUCAGGGAGAUGGCCCUGCUUGAUAUGUAAAGAUGUUGGUAGAAACUACAUACAGUGUGCCCAGUGCAAACUAUGGACACACAAGAGGUGUAUCAUUAUCACUGGAAGGUUAACAGAAAAUAUACAGAGAAUAGACUUUCUCAAAUGUCCAGGAGGAUCCUUAGAAGUAGUAGAUAGUUUCCAUUACCUAGGUGACCAAGUUAGCAGUGGGAUUGGAAGUUCUGAAAGUUUACUUACUCAAAUACAAACAGGCUGGACAAAGUUCAGAGAGCUUCUACCUUUGUUGGUAACAAAGAGCCUCUCUCUCUGAGUUAAAGGCAGAUUGUAUAAUGCUACAUGGCAGUGAAUUGUAGGCUGUGACUACAGGGGAAUUGCAAAGGCUUGAAAGUAAUGAAGCCAACAUGAUCCACUGGAUGGGUAAUGUCAAGGACCAUGUAAAAAGCACCAGUGCUGGCACCACAUGAAAAAAAAACACAGGUACUGACACCAUGCAAAGAGCACUAGUGUUGGCACCAUUUGAAAAGCAUUAGUACUGGUGCCAUGUAAAAGGUACUAGUGUUGGUUCCACACAAAAGAUACCUGUACUGGUGCCAUAUAAAAAAAAACACCCAGUACACUCUGUAAAGUGGUUGGUGUUAGGAAGGAUUUCCAGCUGUUGAGACCAUACCAAAACAUAGAAUUGGAGCCUGGUGCAGCUCUCCGGGUUUACCAUCUCCUGUCAAACCAUCCAACCCAUACCAGCAUGGAAAAUGGAUAUUAAAUAAUGAUGAUACACACACACACACAUCUUUCAGUUUCCAUCUACCAAAUCCACUCUCAAGGUUUUGAUUGGCUAUAGUAGACAUUUACCCAAGGUGCCAUGCAGUGGGAGUGAACUGGAAACCACAUUGUUAGAAAGUAAACAUCUCAACCACCUAGCCAUGCUUACGUGUAUCAAAAUUCACCUUUUAUUUGUGAUCCAAGAAAGGAAUCUCUUCAUGAUUGCCUGCCUAGCUAGAUAUAGCUAUCAAUUCGUAUAAGACAAGUCACUAGAAUCUAAAGAACAGUUCAGUUGCCUUGAGGCGUAAAGAAUUUUAAUGAUUUUUACGUGCCACCAGCAUGUAAAAGGGCACCAUUCGAGCGUGAUCGUUACCAGUGUCGCCUUACUAGCACUUGUGCUUGUGGCACGUGAAAAAACAUUUGAGCGAGCUCGUUGCCAGUACCGCCUGACUGGCCCUUGUGCCGGUGGCAUGUAAAAGCACCCACUACACUCUAGCAUGGAAAGUGGACGUUAAAUGAUGAUGAUGGGCUUCUUGCAAGUAAGAAGGAGCAAAAUAGUGAGAACUAUAUAACUUGAGAGGAACUUUGAAAACAGUAGAAUUAAUUAGCAAUUGAUGCAUUUGUUUGAUGAAGAAAAUCUUAAGCAUUUUACGCUUCUUUUCACAUCUGAAGCAAAUAGAUGGGUUGUUAAUGUCCUCUCAUUUAUCCUUUUAGCUAACAUGUUUUUGCUUUGUCGAGCAGAUCCAUCACCAUUAUGUAUUUUUUUAUAUCAUCCAAUGUAUUCUUUCCAUUUUUAUUUUUUCUAGAGAGUAGGGUGUAAUUUGAGGGAAAUUUGGCAUCUCUUCCUUGUAGAUUUAAACAACUACAUAAAAAAUUCCUUAUUAGCAUUUUCUCCUUUUCUAUUUCUUUUUUAAAAAAUUUGUGACUGGUAUGGUUCUGUAGGUGGAUGCGCAAUGGCCCAGUGGUUAGGGCAGUGGACUCACGGUCGGAGGAUUGCUUGUUUCAAUUCUCAGACCGGGCGUUGUGUGUGUUUAUUGAGUGAAAACACCUAAAGCUCCACGAGGCUCCAGCAGGGCGGUGGCGACCCCUGUUGAACUCUUUCGCCCCAACUUUCUCUCACUCUUUCUUCCUGUUUCUUGAGUAAUGCUGCGAUGGACUGGCAUCCCGUCCAGCUGGGGGGAACACAUACGCCAUAGAAACCGGGAAACCGGGCCCAUGAGCCUGGCUAGGCUUGAAAAGGGCACAUAGAUAAAAUAACUUGUAGUAUAGCAGUUAGUGUGAGUGAUUUUGUAUUUUCUCUCCACAUGUAUUUGCUGACUGUAAGCAACAUGUUAACUGAAAGGAUAAAUAAAUGAGAAGACACUAACAAUACAGGGAGUGUCCUGUGCUAGCAGUCAACCACAAAAGCAUAUCUAGACAUGUAUUGAUAUGCGGCACAAUCUUUGUCAACAUAAGACUCAUUCAAAUGUUGCUGUUUUUAUUUUCAGUUCGUUGCUUAACUAUGUCAAGGUUGUUUGUGAGAUAUUUCACUUCAUUUAUGUUGUAAGCAAGGUAAAACUAUUAUAAACAUUGCUAUUUCUCAGCUCUUUCCCCAAUCAAAAUGAACAUCCUACCUGCAUGAGGAACUAUAUUAUCUGUUUAUUUGUGACAAUACUACUUCACAUUGAAAGGAUUGGCAAUUAGCUGAAAAAACAAUUAUCCUAUAUAAUCUGACUGAUAAAUAUUGACUAUUACCAUACACUAUUCAAUAAAUGUCGUAGGAUGUAUAUUUUUUUGUCAGGUUUAUUUAACCCUUUCGUUGCUGUAUUUAUUUUGAGAUGCUCUGUGUUCUUUCAAUUACUUUAAAUAUAACAAAGAAUUCAGUAAAAUAAUUUAGUUAUCAUUCAGCUGGUGUGAGGAACAUAAAGUGUGACUAAGGUUUGGUGGAAGAUUUUAAUUCAAAACUUAUGAAAAAAAGACAUUUGUACUCAGAGUUUCAGCCAGGUUGGUAACGAAAGGGUUAAAGUCAAAUCUUCUGGCAUAGCUGUGUGACUAAAAAGGUAGCACCCCAAUUAUUUUCUUACAAGUUCAGUCUCACCAUGUGGCACCUUGAGUGAGUGUUUUCUACUAUAGCCCCAGGGUGAUCAAAAGCCUUCUUAAUAGAAUCACCUGAGAGAAACUGAAACUCUAUGUAUGUUUGUAUGUGUGUAUAUAUACACAUGUGUGUGUUUGUAUCUCCUUGUCUUGUCGAUGUGGAAUUAGCUGUAAAUGAGUGUCACCUUCAUACAAGUGGUGUCAUUUA